rnacentral:lncRNA from 1 species
CUGGGAACCUGCCCCCAGUUGGUUCUGAUUGGUAAAUAGAGAUGCCAGCAGUCAAUAGCUAGGAAGGACAGACAGAGGCGGGAUUUUAGGACCCUGCCCCCUCUUGGGACCGGAAGCAGAGAGGAGAAGGAGGAGAUCCAUCAGGUUGGAAGAGUGUGGAGUGACGCCAUGCUUGAGAAGAGAGCAGGACAAAAGAGCACGGCCCUGAGGGUUGCCCAACAGGGUCUAGAGCGGCCAAGAUAGAACAUAGAAUUCAGUAAGUAGAAACUUGGCAUUUCUGCCGGGAGGUAGAUUCUAACAGCAUGGAGGUUAGGCAGUGGCCCAGCUCUUGUGCCAUUUAAGGCAUAUUAACAUAUAAAGGCUGAGUGUGCGUCUUUGGUCUUUCGUUUGGGAACAUUAACCAUUGGGGAUUGGGGCGAGCAAAACCCGGCCACCAGGAUUAAUAUUUAACGUUACAAUGUGGAGUGUCAGCCUCAGGAUCAUCACCCUCUCAUUUGAUUCAGGGUCUCUGAUGGGCCUAGAGCUCCCCAGUUAGGCUAAACUGACUGCUAGUGAGACCCUGGAGCCUCCUUUCUCCACGUCCCCAGUGUUGGGAUUACAAGCAUGUGUGAGGCCGUUCCCCCUCUCCCUUCUUUAUGGCCGUUUUACUGAGGUGGGGAGGAGGGGAGUUCAGGCUACUGUUUCCCAUUGGAGACCUUCUGGCGAGCUUUCUACCCGCUUCAGCAUAUCUCGUGCUUUCCCUUCUGUCUCACUGAUCUGCAGAGCGGCAGAGCACCUUGGCUGAACUGUCUUUGAGGACUUUCAUUGGGGCUCCAGCUGAGCACAUCACAAGGUCGAAGUUCACCAGUGACGUCAGUGUCAGUCAGUGUCACGGGGCACCGGUCACCAGCCGUUUGGUGUCUGUGGUCCCAAAGGCUCUGGUGUUUGAAUCCUUGGGCACCAAUUGGUUGUUGGAGGAAGUACAUCACUGAGGGUGGGGCUUGGGAGUUUCUAGCCUUCCCUCAUUUCCGGUCUGUUUUCUCUGCUUCAUGCUUGCAUUUGUGGGUAUAAGCAUGUAGCUUCUAGCUCCUGCCAUUAUGCCUGCAGCUCCCGGCCAUGCCUCCUGCCACAAUGGUUUUAACCCUGUGGAACCAUGGGCUCAAUUUUAAAUCUUUCCAAUCUAGAGUUACCUUGGUCAUGGUGGUUUAUUACAGCCAUGGGGAAGGAGUAGUUUCUAUCCCAUUUCCUGUCUCUCAGGAGCCAGGAGAAGAGGGACCUGAACAAGAGAGAGAGAAAGAGAGGAGAGGCUGUGGAGAUCUCGAGGACAGAUUCAGCUAGCCAUGACAUGCUGUCUGUGUUGUGGUAGUAAUGUUCUGAAAAUAAUCGUUUUUGUUGUUGAUAAAGCCUUCUGUAAAAUUUCAUGCUGAAGAUCCCAGGAGUGAGCAUCCAGUUCCCCUCAUAGUAGUAGAGAGAUGCCUCGAAACACACACACACACACACACACACACACACACACACACUCGUGCCAGCAAACCACUCUGGGAAGCCUUUUUUGAUAAUCUAAAAUAUCUUUUAACCAGUUUAAAAAAAGUGAGCCUUUGGGUUCAUCUUUUGAAAAACAAUCGAUUUUAUAUUUAAGCUCGUCUCUGUGUGCGAGCCCAGUAGGCCUUGUGUCCAUUCCCUGGUUAUGCCAUGGUUGGAUUCUAAAUGGUACAUACACUUCACCAGACUUGAAAACUGGUGUCACUCACUCAGGGGUCCUCCGGACUGACCUCCAAUCAGCUCCCUUCAUUUUGGAGACAGUAUUCCCCACUGGUGACUUGUAUCGGUACUUCUUUCUCUUAUCCAGUUCCCCAUAGGCGCAUGCAAAUCAUGUUGGAUUUGACCUAGUAGCCACAUUCUAAUUUGCUGGCGUGAUGUGGUACGUAACUCAGAUGGACUUUAAGACUCAUCAGAAGGCCUUGCUGUGCAAUUGGAAGUCAGACUGUCCUUUAUGGAUGGCCUCGUGCAUGGCUGAUCUAAAAUGUGCUCCCACCCAUCGGAAAUCCUCAUACUAUUUUCCUUUCAUUAGAGGAGAAAAACAGAAUUCAGCUGGACAUACACACUGAAAUGAGAUCCUUAAAUAAACAGUCCGGGGCUUAAUAAUUUAUGGGAAGAUGCAAGGGGAAAUGAGGAAAAGAAUAGAAUCAGAGUAGACAAACACCACGUCCCUUUGAACUGUCCCACACGAAUCAUCAGAACUGUGUGUCUCCAAUGUACAGGGCUAUUAAUGAGGUGGAAGGCGUUGGGGGUGGAUAAAUAAUAUAUCACACGGAAUCCACAUCUUCUGUGGACACCGGAGACCGCUGACACCUAUCAAUUUGUCUUACACCAGGUGCUAUGAAUUCACUCUGCUUGCAGCUUGUCAAUCUCUGCUUUAGGCUUAAUAAAUGUUGUGAUUUGCUGUGUGUGCUUUUUAAAAAAGUAUUGUGGUGAAAUGCAAAAGUAAUUACAAAAAAAAAAAAAAAAUCAGCCAGACCGGUGCUGCUGGUGUGGAGGCAGCCUGCGCAGUGAUGUAACUCCUCAUACAUCAUUUCCACAGCUCUCAACCUCACAGUUUAGGGAAAGAAAAAGACCGUCGGGAAACUUCCCGUUAAAAGACUCUACACACUGAUUAGGGUAUCCGUGGUUGUAGAUAGGAAAACAUUAUCAUUGUUCCCGUGAGGAAGUUAUGGGGAGGGAUAGGAAACAGAGAGUCAGGAAGUAGGUGACAGGAAGUUAGAUAUCCACCCAAACAGCAAAACCGGGUUAUAUAGAGCUUAAAAAAAAAAAAAAGCCCUAAAAUCAUUAGUGGCCUAAGAGAAGUCAUCGUCAUUAGCCGUAGCAAUGUCUACGAGAAAUAAAUAACAGCUGAAAACAAUAAAACUCGUGGUAAUGUGUGGCACUGUAAUAUUGAUGGCAGCAUGUGGGGACCGCCUGACAGCUGUUAAACAGAUGUGGCAAUUAGCAAACCUUAUGGUCACACUGCUGAGAUUAGUAUGCAGCGUGUUCCCCGGCAAAAUUAGCCGACUUCCUUCUUUGUGUGGCUUCCUCCGAGUGGAGCUGUACUGAGUGUGAGCCUCCAUUUAGGCAGCUAUAGCCUGAGCCAUAGAGGCGGGUACGUGCUCGUGCGUGUGUGUGCGUGCGCAUGUGUGUGCAUGCGUGCGCGUGCGUGUGUGCGCAGAUACUCGUAUGCAUUUUUUGAUGUCUUCUGAAAGAUUUAGAGAAACUCGGAAUUUUAACAAGAACAAUAUCAACUCGGUGCUGCAGCAGAUACUUCAAUUAUAAUCGCUAAUGGACAAAUUGAGAGAUAAAAAGACUUUUCUAUCAUGUUGAAAUUCAAUGAACAGUUCAGUGAUGCUCUAUGUGUCUCCCAUCCUUGGCGGGCCAUCCUGGACACAUUCCCAUGGCAGAGGCAUCAGAACCCUACAUCGCCCAGUGCUUCUUUGAGGCCCAGGAUCUUUCACUGAACGUGGAGCCAGACUGGACACCAGCAAGCCCCAGAGACCCUCCUGUCUCCACUCCUUGAAAUGCUAGGGUCACAGGUGUGCAACGGCCAUAUUUGGCUUUUUAUGUGCACUCUGAGGACUUGAACUGAGGUCCUCACAGUAGCUCAGCAAGUGGUCUUACUGUCUCAGCCAUUUCUCCAGCCCCACGUUGUCAGAGUUUUAAAGAGAAGCUGGCAACUCAAGCUUUUUAUGUGAAAUAACUGUUUAAAAAAAAAAUAGUAGCAACUAAAUAAAAUUAAAAGUGAC